rnacentral:lncRNA from 1 species
AAAGAAGUGGGUCUCAUUGGGGUCUAAGCGUGACGCGGGAUUGCCGAUUUUUUGUAAACGUGACACGUGACACGUGAAAGUCAAAUUAUUGUGUCGGGAAAACGGGAAAUGAGGUCUAGCGGGACCCGGGAAAUGACAAAAAAAUGAGAAUUGCUUACAUACAUAGUGUAAGCGGGAUACGGGAAUCGGACAAAGCAGUAAGCGGGAUCCGGGAUCGGAACCCCCCAAUGAGACCCCCAAAGAAG